rnacentral:rRNA from 1 species
UACGGAGGGGGCAAGCGUUGUUCGGAAUUAUUGGGCGUAAAGGGCACGUAGGUGGACUAGUAAGUUAAAAGUGAAAUACCAAAGCUUAACUUUGGAGCGGCUUUUAAUACUGCUAGACUAGAGGUCGAAAGAGGAUAGCGGAAUUCCUAGUGUAGAGGUGAAAUUCGUAGAUAUUA